UACAGAGGGGGCAAGCGUUGUUCGGAAUUACUGGGCGUAAAGGGUGCGCAGGCGGCCGAGUGUGUGAGGCGUGAAAGCCCGGGGCUUAACCCCGGAAUUGCACCUCAAACUACACGGCUAGAGCAUUGGAGAGGGUAGCAGAAUUCAUGGUGUAGCAGUGAAAUGCGUAGAUAUCAUGAGGAAUACCAGAGGCGAAGGCGGCUACCUGGACAAUUGCUGACGCUCAGGCACGAAAGCGUGGGGAGCAAAAGGG
rnacentral:rRNA from 1 species